rnacentral:rRNA from 1 species
GACGAACGCUGGCGGCGUGCUUAACACAUGCAAGUCGAACGGAAAGGCCCCUUUGGGGGUCCUCGAGUGGCGCACGGUUGAGUAACACGUGAGUAACCUGCCCUUGACUUCGGGAUAACUUCAGGAAACUGGGGCUAAUACCGGAUAGGAAUCCUUGCUGCAUGGUGGGGGUUGGAAAGCUUCGGCGGUUUUGGAUGGACUCGCGGCUUAUCAGCUUGUUGGUGGGGUAGUGGCUUACCAAGGCUUUGACGGGUAGCCGGCCUGAGAGGGCGACCGGCCACAUUGGGACUGAGAGACAGCCCAGACUCCUACGGGAGGCAGCAGUGGGGAAGAUUGCACAAUGGGCGGAAGCCUGAUGCAGCAACGCCGCGUGCGGGAUGACGGCCUUCGGGUUGUAAACCGCUUUCAGCAGGGGCGAAGCUUGUGGUGACGGUACCUGCAGAAGAAGCACCGGCUAACUACGUG